AGUGAACGCUGGCGGUAGGCCUAACACAUGUAAGUCGAACGGCAGCACAGUAAGAGCUUGCUCUUACGGGUGGCGAGUGGCGGACGGGUGAGGAAUACAUCGGAAUCUACUUUUUCGUGGGGGAUAACGUAGGGAAACUUACGCUAAUACCGCAUACGACCUACGGGUGAAAGCAGGGGAUCUUCGGACCUUGCGCGAUUGAAUGAGCCGAUGUCGGAUUAGCUAGUUGGCGGGGUACAGGCCCACCACGACGACGAUCCGUAUCUGGACUGAGAGGAUGAACACCCAGACUGGUAUAGAGACACGCACAAGACUCCUACGGGAGGCAGUAGUGAGGAUUAUUGGACAAUGGGCGCAAGCCAGAUCCAGCCAUACCGCGUGGGUGAAGAAGCCCUUCAAGUUAGAAAGCCCUUUUAUUAAGAAAGAAAAUCAGCAGGUUAAUACCCCGCUUUUCUGACGGUACCCAAGGAAUAAGCACCGGCUAACUUCGUG
rnacentral:rRNA from 1 species